UACGUAGGGGGCAAGCGUUGUCCGGAAUCACUGGGCGUAAAGCGCGCGCAGGCGGCGAUCUACGUCUGGGGUGAAAGCCCGGAGCUCAACUCCGGGACUGCCUUGGAUACGGGAUCGCUUGAGGAUUGGAGAGGCAAGGGGAAUUCCACGUGUAGCGGUGAAAUGCGUAGAGAUGUGGAGGAACACCUGUGGCGAAGGCGCCUUGCUGGCCAAUUUCUGACGCUGAGGCGCGAAAGCGUGGGGAGCAAACAGG
rnacentral:rRNA from 1 species